UGGGGAAUUUUGGACAAUGGGGGCAACCCUGAUCCAGCAAUGCCGCGUGUGUGAAGAAGGCCUUCGGGUUGUAAAGCACUUUUGUUAGGGAAGAAAACCGACUGGCUAAUACCCGGGCGGGCUGACGGUACCUUUCGAAUAAGCACCGGCUAACUACGUGCCAGCAGCCGCGGUAAUACGUAGGGUGCGAGCGUUAAUCGGAAUUACUGGGCGUAAAGCGUGCGCAGGCGGCACUGCAAGACAGAUGUGAAAUCCCCGGGCUCAACCUGGGAACUGCAUUUGUGACUGCAGAGCUAGAGUGUGUCAGAGGGAGGUGGAAUUCCACGUGUAGCAGUGAAAUGCGUAGAGAUGUGGAGGAACACCGAUGGCGAAGGCAGCCUCCUGGGAUAACACUGACGCUCAGGCACGAAAGCGUGGGGAGCAAACAGGAUUAGAUACCCCCGUAGUCC
rnacentral:rRNA from 1 species